rnacentral:rRNA from 1 species
UUGGAAACAUUGUUUGCAGGCUCAGAUGCUGAUGACUUGGAGCACGACGAAUUGGAAGACUCAAAUCACAAAAACUAUGGAGACCAUGAUCCAUUUGACUAUGUGUACUCAAACCUACCAGACAACACACACAUCCUGAAGCACGCCGCAAACUGCGACCACUGCAAGGCCAAGAAGUUUGUCAGCGAGGCCCCGGGAUUCUGCUGUCGCAGUGGGAAGAUCGAGUUGAAGCAACCGGAGCCCAUCACGGAGCUCAUGAGGCUUUGGUCUAGCACUGAUGCGGACACUAGGCAUUUUCGGGAGAACAUACGGUUCUUCAAUGGACACUUUUGCUUCACAACCCUCGGCGUCAGCCUCGAUGAAACAUACACAAACAUGAAGUCUGGGUACACGUUCCGGGCGCAUGGCACCAUCUACCACAACGGUCAUUCCUUCGAACCAACAUCCCGUCCAGAUCAUCUACAGUUGUACUUCUACGACGACGACCCAGGCCUAACCCAUCGCAAGGCUGCCACCGAGAAAUUAGACCAGGAUGUCGUCAAAAAGUUGGUGCACAUACUCAGGGAAAACCCGUACUCUCAGCAGUUUAGGAGUUUGGGUGCGCACAGAGACAACCUCGACAAUUACAGGAUAGACCUCAACACUAACCAGAGACUAGACCAACGGAAGUAUAAUAGACCUCUGUCAUCUGAGGUCGCUGCAAUUUGGGUGGAGGGCACUGACCUAGCGAAGAGAUUCGAUCGUAGGAUUACACUUUGCGGGAACGACAACCAGAGGCACAGUAUACAUGUGACGGCUGGCUCGUAUGACCCGCUCUCUUACCCACUCUUCUACCCAAGGGGGGAGCUCGGUUGGCACCCGAAACUACCUAAACGUAAUGUCCCUUGGCCGGUUGUGCAACAACCAAGAGGUGGACAUGAUGAUGAUGAUGAUGAGGAGGAGGAGGAUGCACGUAAGCCUUAUGUGUAUUCUGUCAUUUUGAUGUAUUGUGUAGUUCUCAUAUGA